GGGAUUGUAGCUCAGUGGUAGAGCGCUUGGCUUGCACUUGUGAGGUCCUGGGUUCAAUCCUUAGCACCA
rfam:Ictidomys tridecemlineatus contig107267, whole genome shotgun sequence.